rnacentral:rRNA from 1 species
GAUGAACGCUGGCGGCGUGCCUAAUACAUGCAAGUCGAGCGAACGGACGAGAAGCUUGUUUCUCUGAUGUUAGCGGCGGACGGGUGAGUAACACGUGGAUAACCUACCUAUAAGACUGGGAUAACUUCGGGAAACCGGAGCUAAUACCGGAUGAUAUUUUGAACCGCAUGGUUCAAAAGUGAAAGACGGUCUUGCUGUCACUUAUAGAUGGAUCCGCGCUGCAUUAGCUAGUUGGUAAGGUAACGGCUUACCAAGGCAACGAUGCAUAGCCGACCUGAGAGGGUGAUCGGCCACACUGGAACUGAGACACGGUCCAGACUCCUACGGGAGGCAGCAGUAGGGAAUCUUCCGCAAUGGGCGAAAGCCUGACGGAGCAACGCCGCGUGAGUGAUGAAGGUCUUCGGAUCGUAAAACUCUGUUAUUAGGGAAGAACAUAUGUGUAAGUAACUGUGCACAUCUUGACGGUACCUAAUCAGAAAGCCACGGCUAACUACGUG